rnacentral:lncRNA from 1 species
UUUCCGAUUUCCGCUGGUUCCGAUCCGAAUGUAAUUCCGAAAUUUCCGACAAUAUUUCCGAAAUUUUCCGAUUUAUUCCGAAAUUAUUGCUAUUUAUUAAUUAUAUUGUAGUUUUGUUUUCCAUUAACUACUUCAAUUUCGAAAAAGCCCAUCUCAUAUUUAAAAAGAUUAGGCCUGCAGCCCAUUUAGCAAACUACUAAGUCACCAAACUCCAUAUUUACAAUUUUGAAGGACUAAACAUUAAAUAUCAAAACCCUAAUUUUCUUCCUUUUCUUCUUCCGCCGCUCACGUCUUCUUCUCUAGGCCAUUUCUCUAUUUCUCUCUUCGUUAAAAAUUCUUCUUGCAGGCGACGUCUUCUUUCGCCAUUCUUCUUGCAGGCGACGUCUUCUUUUGCCACCUCCUUUUUUCUGUACAUUUUUCUUGUCGAGAUCUGCUCCUUCUGCCCUUUCACCACCAUUUUCAAGAUUUGAAAGAUUCUUUGCGGAAAAGGGUGUCUUUGGAAUUGGAAAUGAGUUUGCUCUCAAAAUCGCUCCAUCGUCGCCGUUGCUCCGUCGCGGAAAAACAACAAAGUCGCCGGAAACCACCAAGUUAGCGCAAGUUCCGAAAAUUCCGAAAUUCCGACCGGAAUUUUCGGAAUCGGAAUCAGAAUGAAUAUUUCUAUUCCGAAAUUUUCGGAAUCGGAUUCGGAACUGCCUUUUGACUUCCGGUAGUUUCCGAUCCGAUCCGUCCGAUCUCCA